rnacentral:rRNA from 1 species
GACAGAGGUGCCAAGCGUUAGGCGGAAUCACUGGGCUUAAAGCGUGUGUAGGCGGAUAUCUAAGUACCUUGUGAAAUCCCACGGCUCAACCGUGGAACUGCUUGGUAUACUGGGUGUCUUGAGCCAUCUAGGGGCUACCGGAACAAAUGGUGGAGCGGUGAAAUGCGUAGAUAUCGUCUGGAACGCCGAAGGUGAAAACAGCUCGCUGGGGCUGCGCUGACGCUGAGACACGAAAGCCAGGGGAGCGAACGGG